rnacentral:lncRNA from 1 species
GUGGUGGCUUCCUGAUUAGAAGGCUGCAGAGAUUUAUCGAGAAGCUGCUGCUCCAGCUUCAGAAGAUCUUUUGAAGAUCUUCCAGAUCAGAUCCAGAUCUGAUUUUUGAAAUAAAGAUUCACGAAGAGAAGACGAUCCAGAUCCUGCUUGAGUGGAUACCGGUAGAGGUCAGACGACUGCGUGGCUAUUUUAGAACCUCGGACAUUACUGUG